rnacentral:rRNA from 1 species
AACGAACGCUGGCGGCAUGCCUAACGCAUGCAAGUCGAACGAGACCUUCGGGUCUAGUGGCGCACGGGUGCGUAACGCGUGGGAACCUGCCCUUAGGUUCGGAAUAACUCCCCGAAAGGGGUGCUAAUACCGGAUAAUGUCUUCGGACCAAAGAUUUAUUGCCUUUGGAUGGGCCCGCGUUGGAUUAGCUAGUUGGUAGGGUAAAAGCCUACCAAGGCGACGAUCCAUAGCUGGUCUGAGAGGAUGAUCAGCCACACUGGGACUGAGACACGGCCCAGACUCCUACGGGAGGCAGCAGUGGGGAAUAUUGGACAAUGGGCGAAAGCCUGAUCCAGCAAUGCCGCGUGAGUGAUGAAGGCCUUAGGGUUGUAAAGCUCUUUUACCCGGGAUGAUAAUGACAGUACCGGGAGAAUAAGCUCCGGCUAACUCCGUG